ensembl:lncRNA
AGACGUCUGGAGUUUUCCAGCAGAGGUACCUAGCACUUUUCCAGGUAACUGUACGGUCUCUGAAGUUUGCUGGUCCUGAGCAGGCCACAGCUGCAAGCACAGAAAACUCAAAAAUCAUACCAUAGCUAUUUAUUUUUUUCUGGACAAACAAUUUUAUUUUAGGUAAUGCGUCUAUACACUGUACAUUCAGUCACUGUGGUAUAUAAGCAUAGCUAUUUUCAUACAUAAUCUCAUAAAGUCCUUUAUUUUACAAUAUUAUCUGCUUCAAGGGGAGGGCAUGUGGAAAAGGGGGUGGAAAAGGACUAUCAAGGUACACAGCGAAAUAGAUAAAUAUGCCAAGCUUUUUUCUUAUUUUUUUUUAAAUCAGGCAUUUAUAAACAAGAAAGCAUACAUUACUUACAUAAAAAUAGUUCUAGAAUAGUAGAGUAAGUCAUAAUAUUGUCAUUAGCAGCAGCAUAGGAGAGACCAGGAUAACAAAAAUGUGCUGAAAUGCUAUUGGCUAUUAUAAAUGUAAAGAUUUAUUUUUCUUCAAUUGAAAAAAUGUCAUUUCUGUGAGUUCUUUUGAUUAAAAAAAAAAAAAAAAAGGAAAACAAACAAAAAACCAAAAACAAAACAACAACCAAACCAACAAAAAACUUCUCUCAAAAACACAUGGACUGAUGAGAGGGCAGAAUGGAAAGAAAAUCAAUCUUUUGGUAAUAAAAUACUUUACAGUGAAAAUAAGGACAAAUAAAAUGCAAAUGAUGGAGAAAGGUUAACCCACAUUUAAAACUUGCAAAAAGAUUUUGUUUUGUUUUUCCUAACAGACAGCAAAGGUUCUUCUUAGUUAAAAACACAACUCAUAAAACAAGACAACUACCAGGAAACUAAAGAGCAGAUGAAAUGAGAAGAUGUGACUUUACAAUUCCUACACUCACAGGCUGGAGUGCAAAUGGAAUGCAGCAGGGACUCCACAAUUUCAUUAAUUUUGGAGGAUAAAAGCAUCAUAUGCACAGCAGAAAUUGUACCAGUGAAUCAGCAUACUCCCCUAGAUGCACAAGAAAGAAAAACUAUGUCGGGUGCUGCAGGUAAGUGGGCUGCUUUUCCUAUGAAAAACACAGAGAAGAACAUUUUGUGUUGAGUCAUAAGGGUUGAGACGCAAUCAAAGCUCAGGGGUAAAAACCCAAACAAACAAAACUUAAGAUGUAAGGCUUCAAAGAAGCUGGCAGUGGGGGUAGGAAUACAUUUGUUCUAUGUGUAAUUUCUUAACAUGGCAGUAAAGCAUAGCAUAUGAGGCUUUUGAAAUGCACAAUGAUCAACUAAAGCUAAAAUUAUUUAGUUUCCCUUGAAGAAAUAAGUGAAUAAUACAGAUCUGGAAAUCAUAAGGCUGAGAACAUUUUUAUGCAUACUGCAUAACAAAAUAAACCCUUUACAUAAGACAGUAAUAAUGCCCAUUAAUGAAUAUACGUAUGGCAGAGAUUUUAAUUCCAUGCAUAUGAUUUAAUAAUCGCAGAAAAAAAACAUACAAAGAAGAAAAAAAAAACCCCACAUUAAAAAAACCUGCUUAAGCAUAAUCAAAAUUCCUUUUGCAUUGCACUUUAGAAGAGGAGAUCUGCAUCUAGACUCAGUCUCCAGCAUCCCAAACACACAAGGGUAAACCCCUGUAUAAACGGACAGUUUCAUGUAAUUUACUUGGUAUAACUCUUUCUUGCUCCCAACAGUUUUACAUUGUCCCAGUAAUUGUACUCCUUUCAUAUUUCUUCUUUUUGUACCUAAAACAUAUAUAUGAACUUCUUUGUUAAUGCUCACAGUUAUUAUAAUGGUUAUCAUAAUGGUUUCAAGCAAACAGCUCUUGUUUAAAAAAAAAAAAUAUCUCUCUAAUGUAAGUAAAUACUAUAAUUUUAGGAUUGGAAGCCGCUUUCUGUCUACUGGGAAAUAAUUUUUAAGAUUAAAUAGUUUGCAUUAAUGUCCAAAAGCUAAUAAAGAUUACUGGAAAUAGGUUUCUUCGUUUAGAAUAACUUCUGUGUAUGAUGAUGCAUAGGGUUUGUUUUUGUUGUUUUUUUUUUGCCCUUCCCGUUUUUAUUCUUUAAGGUAAAAAAAGU